UGGGGAAUAUUGCACAAUGGGCGCAAGCCUGAUGCAGCCAUGCCGCGUGUAUGAAGAAGGCCUUCGGGUUGUAAAGUACGUUCAGUCGGGAGGAAGGUGUCAAGGUUAAUAACCUUGGCAAUUGACGUUACCGACAGAAGAAGCACCGGCUAACUCCGUGCCAGCAGCCGCGGUAAUACGGAGGGUGCAAGCGUUAAUCGGAAUUACUGGGCGUAAAGCGCACGCAGGCGGUUGAUUGAGUCAGAUGUGAAAUCCCCGGGCUUAACCCGGGAAUUGCAUCUGAUACUGGUCAGCUAGAGUCUUGUAGAGGGGGGUAGAAUUCCAUGUGUAGCGGUGAAAUGCGUAGAGAUGUGGAGGAAUACCGGUGGCGAAGGCGGCCCCCUGGACAAAGACUGACGCUCAGGUGCGAAAGCGUGGGGAGCAAACAGG
rnacentral:rRNA from 1 species